rnacentral:rRNA from 1 species
AGAGUUUGAUCCUGGCUCAGGACGAACGCUGGCGGCGUGCUUAACACAUGCAAGUCGAACGAAAAUACCAAGCUUGCUUGGUUGAUUAGUGGCGAACGGGUGAGUAACACGUGAGUAACCUGCCCCUUACUUUCCUGGAUAACUGCUCGAAAGGGUAGCUAAUACGGGAUAUUCUGACCAGUCUGCAUGGGUUGGUUUGGAAAGGUUGUUUUUCUGGUAAGGGAUGGGCUCGCGGCCUAUCAGCUUGUUGGUGGGGUGAUGGCCUACCAAGGCUUUGACGGGUAGCCGGCCUGAGAGGGUGGACGGUCACACUGGGACUGAGAUACGGCCCAGACUCCUACGGGAGGCAGCAGUGGGGAAUAUUGCACAAUGGGCGCAAGCCUGAUGCAGCGACGCCGCGUGAGGGAUGAAGGCCUUCGGGUUGUAAACCUCUUUCGUCAGGGAACAAGGCACUGCUUUUUUGGUGGUGUUGAGGGUACCUGGAUAAGAAGCGCCGGCUAACUACGUGCCAGCAGCCGCGGUAAUACGUAGGGCGCAAGCGUUGUCCGGAAUUAUUGGGCGUAAAGAGCUCGUAGGCGGCUGGUCGCGUCUGUCGUGAAAACUUCCGGCUCAACCGGGGGCUUGCGGUGGGUACGGGCCGGCUAGAGUGCGGUAGGGGUAACUGGAACUCCUGGUGUAGCGGUGGAAUGCGCAGAUAUCAGGAAGAACACCGAUGGCGAAGGCAGGUUACUGGGCCGUUACUGACGCUGAGGAGCGAAAGCGUGGGGAGCGAACAGGAUUAGAUACCCUGGUAGUCCACGCUGUAAACGUUGGGCACUAGGUGUGAGGCUCCUUUCCGGGGGUUUUGCGCCGUAGCUAACGCAUUAAGUGCCCCGCCUGGGGAGUACGGCCGCAAGGCUAAAACUCAAAGGAAUUGACGGGGGCCCGCACAAGCGGCGGAGCAUGCGGAUUAAUUCGAU